rnacentral:rRNA from 1 species
GGUGCAGGGGGGUAGGGUGGCGCGGUAAUAGGUAGGGUGAGAGUGGUAAUAGGAAGUACUGGGCGGAAAGCGGGCGGAGGGGGUUGUGUAAGACAGGCGGGAAAGCCCCGGGCGUAACCUGGGAACUGCGUUUGUGACUGCCAGGCUAGAGUACGGCAGAGGGGGGUGGAAUUCCACGUGUAGCAGUGAAAUGCGUAGAGAUGUGGAGGAACACCAAUGGCGAAGGCAGCCCCCUGGGUCGAUACUGACGCUCAUGCACGAAAGCGUGGGGAUCAAACAGGAUUAGAUACCCUAGUAGUC